rnacentral:rRNA from 1 species
UACGUAGGGGGCGAGCGUUGUCCGGAUUUAUUGGGCGUAAAGAGCGUGUAGGCGGCUUGGUAGGUCCGCUGUGAAAACUCGGGGCUCAACCCCGAGAGGUCGGUGGAAACCAUCUGGCUAGAGUCCGGAAGAGGAGAGUGGAAUUCCCGGUGUAGCGGUGAAAUGCGUAGAUAUCGGGAGGAACGACCGGUGGCGAAGGCGGCCUUCUGGACGGAUACUGACGCUGAGACGCGAAAGCGUGGGGAGCAAACAGG